GAAAGAGAGAGCGAGCAGCUUGUUCGCGAUCACGCCGAUUCCACCGGCAGUGGGGGCUUUUUUCUAUUUUAUAAUUAGAUUUUUAGGCCUCGGUGACGCGACUGACGUGUAUGCAGGUUAUGAUCGUCGGCGGACGGUUUUAGCGGCAAUAAGAUUUGAAAAUACUCCAGUCACGCAGGUUUUGUGAUAAAGAUCAAUGACGAAAAGGUUAGAAAUAUCGUGAAAAUUAAUGUCGUCUUUCAGGAAGGGGAAAACUUUAGAAAUUUGUUCAUUAUUAUCGAGGUUUUCGUUUAAAGUUUUCUUAAUGUAGAAUUUAGAACGAUAUUCCGCGUAUUUAAGACAGUUUAGGUGUUUAGAAGAAUGUGUUCAACGGUCGAAUCAAAGAGCUGUGAUAUUCUUCUUAGUUCUGUGAUUCUUUCCGAGAAGUAUCCUGUUAGGAGAUAAUUCUUAAGAGUAAUUCGUUGUUUAUUUUUUUAUGUGCUCAAGGAAUCGAAAGAUGUCAAGUUAUCGUUAUUUAUCGCAUUUCUUGUUUUAUUACAUACUUUAACAAGUUAUCUAUUUUCACAUCGUGCAAAUUGCAAGCAAAAAAUUUUCCUUUGCUCCAUCGUUGUAGACAGUUUCGAGUUUUGCGGUAAUUUGAAUGACAGUUUAAUCUAGAAAAAUUGUCUCGACGGGGAAAAAAUCUUUAUACAGUCAACAUAAUUAUCUCUGUUGUUUCUUCGCUCGAACACGAGGGCUUUUGAAUGUGAAGUAUCUGUAUGCUUGUAACAUCUAAAUAUACGUUCACCGUUUGGUGUAUCGAGACGAUAAAUAGCAAACACAAAAUAUAUCCAAACUUUCUCUACGGAGAAUUCUUAUAUCUUACUGAUAAGGUAACGGUGCCAGGUGCCGUUGUACAAACGUGCCCGUCCCCCUAUACGCUUCUCUGUGAUUUAUGCGUGUGUACUUAUUAAAUUAUUAUUUAUAAACUUAUCGACACUAUUGAAUUAAUAGUCGUCGCAAACGAUAUACAUAAUGUAAUACUUAUAUAAUACAAAUUAUAAAUAACAUAUCUUUCUAUUUAUAAUUAUACAAUAUACAAUGAUUUGGAAAAUGUUAGGAGAAUGACCUUGAGAAAAUUUCACGCGUAUUGAAUUAAAUCUUCCCCUCGUGUUUUGAGAUUUAAAUGAUCUAUUUAUAUAACUUCUAUCUUUAUCGAAUCCAUCAAGUACAUUAGAUUAGAGGAUAUUCCAUAUAGAUACCUUAAAUGUUUUUAAUUUUUUUUAUUGCCUUAAAUACAUACAUGUUGAUGUCACUAAAGCAUAGUAGGAUUCUUGUGGUGUCUAAUUUGGCGGGGCGCUACGAUACAACGCAAACCGGAAUUAUUGUGACGGUAUCAAUCAUUUCGUUAUCGUGACAUCGAAACAAACACACAAAUAUGUUUUACAUGGCACGGCAGUACGUACGAUUUGAUUCUGUAUAGGUCUCCUCGACGAGCCACUUCGUUUAAUCGCGGAAAAUCUCACGAUUAAAUCAUAAUAAUUGAUUGUCUGUUCGAGUGUUAAUCGUUCUAUGAAUUAAAACUGGAGAUAAGGAAAGGAAUUUAUCUGUAAUUUUUAAUUUUUAAUUUUUGCCUAUUAUUAUUAAAAGAUGAAAUUAUGGAAGACGGAAUUAUAGCGUUACGAUACAAUAUUUUAAUUUAUAGAUUACUUGCACACGUACGUGUACAUUCAUUCAAACAACGUAUACAUAUUUAUGAACUCGUUGAGUUUCAACCGUUUCUUUUUAAUACUCCGAGAAUGCAUUGUUAAUACUUGUCGUUUUAAUUCAUUGAGAAUAAUUAUCAAAGAGUAAAAAAAAGAAAGCGACGAUUCAAAGAUCAAAGUUCUUAUAUGUAUAUAUGUACACACAUGCAUACUAUGUACAAAUGAAAAAUGGUUUCGAAGUAAGUUAUACGUAAAUAUUGUAAGGCCUAAAAGCAUGAAAUAAAAGAGGAAGAUUUCUCAAGGAACUUAUAUGAUAAAAAUUUAAUAUUUCUAAAAGUAUUCAGAUUGUCUUACGAUUACGUAAUUUCACAAGGUUUUGUAUUAAUUUUUAAAUUAGAGAUAACUGAUUGAAUAUUUGAUAUAUAUAUGUAUACGUAUAUAGCGAUGGUGAUGUACGAUUUAGUCGUAUAUCAAAAAUAUGACUUUGAGCACGUGUGAAGUUGCAGAUUGUGGCGACUUCUAUUGGUGAGAUUGCGUACUGCGCGUACAGUGCUGGUCCUAUAUGAGCUGGUAUACAAGUUAAUCCCGCGCAUAAUUCACACAUUCCAAAAAAGACUCUUCGAUGGAAUUUGAAAGUAUUUCUUCCGUUUGAUGUUUCGAACAAUCUCGAUAUCAACAACGAUUUCUGUAAUAGAGUGCACAAAGAAUGAUAUAAACGUGGAUUUUGUUACGAAAUCAUUACUUAAAACAACUUCAAUAAUAUCUUCAUUUAUUAUAAUGGAAUCAUGUGUGUGUGUGUGUAUGUGUAUUUGUAUCAUGUCCAUGAUGAUUGUAUAACGAACAGAGUUCAACAAUUCUUAUACGAAAGUAAGUAGGAUUGUUUUAUUAGCCAUUAAUGUGAAAACAACUCUUAGCUUUAUAACUCAUAGUCAAUCUAAAUAUAUGCUCGAUUAUAAUUCCAUUUGCGAGAUUGAUAAGAGGGAGACGAAAUAGUCAUAGGGAAGGAGGAAUGAAAGAUGACGCAUUGAAAGUAAGAAAAGAGGAAAUUGACGGAAGGAGAGGAAUGCCCGAAAGGGUGUAGCGGGUCACGUGUGUAUAGUCGGCCUCUUGCAUUAGCCGUGGAUCCUGCUUUUUCUUUUCUUCCUUCCCUUCUUCUCUCUUUCUCUCGGGAGCCACGUGCGCCCCAAGAAAUUCCUCUUUUGUAUCCUUCAGCCUUUGUUCGGCAACAGCUGUCCGGCCGAAGAAAUGCUUUUCUCCAUCGUCAGUCUGCUUACUGCUGAUUCUUUUCCCUCUCUGUUCGCUACCACGUCUAAGUAUGAAUUAAAUUAUCGAUUCUCUGCCUUCUUUUGUCGAUUCGUGCGAGGAAGAGAUUAAGAAUCACGAUUUAGAUUUAACGCGAGUACGUCGACUAACCAUUUAAAUUAUGUCAAUAUUUUCUUCGUAAUCGUUAAUUCGUAAAUUGUCUGUUUUUAGAGACAGAUCAUUACUUGUUAUUACAAAUACGUAAUUGUAUUUGUUCAAGAAAUAUUUGAGGAAUCCAGUUAAACUCGAAGAGCACAAUUUCAUAAAUAUUUUAAUUUUAGGUAUUUCCAGCCAAUCAGCCCCCCAAAAGACUAUUUCUUUUUUUAUCAAUUUUCGAGUAACAUUUCACAAGCAUUAACUUAUUAUUAUUAAGGCAACAAGAAUUAAAAGGAAGACAGAAUGAAAUUUACUAAACGUUAUGAAAAUGCGAGAGAGAGAGAGAGAGAGAGAGAGAGAGAAGUUGUCACAAAUUCCAUUUCCUUCCAUGGAAUGCGGCUCACCAUUCCCCUCUACAUCAUUCCAUUCCGACGGCAAUGUUUAAAAGUACAUCGAAUCAUGAUUCUCUCUACCCCCGUAAUUUCCUCAUAAAUCAUCUCGAAAAUUCCCGAAGGAAACGGUUCUGCAUCCGUGCCCUUAACAUUCGCCGGAAGACGUUGCUUUCGAAAUUUGCCGCGGUUGCGUAUUCAGAAGAAAAUGCCACGAAUGCGUCCAAUUACAAAACACCGCGGGCAUUCCUGAACAGAUCCGUACGCAUAGUGGCCCGACACUGGCUCCGCGCGGCUCUCUGCUAUCUAUCCCUCUUUCUUCGUUCCUCCUCCGAUGGUAUGAGCGGCGGAGAGUAGUUGGCGCACUAUAAAAGGGGGCCCUUCGCUCGGAGCGGGGCCCCGCGGAUCGGCGUGCAGCGUUCAGAUAAAUAUGCGGGAGGGGCCGGAAUUCCUCACUCGGCUGCAUUCCAAUCGCUCUUCCUCCUCCGCCAUCUCACCACUACCACACACACAAACAUCUCCCCGUCAUCGUUAUUUGCAGCCUCCGUCGCACACUACCUCUGUCCCGGCCACGCAGCAACAGAACAACCUAGCGAUCCCAGUAUGUAAUACCAACGAAUACCAGUACCGCCGGUGACAAUAACAAUAACCACGCGUGUCCGUAAUAACCUUCUGAAUACCCUGACAAUGAGCGUAUAUACGAAGGAGUUGAGGUUAGCUUGGAUUAGGUUAGGUUAGAUGCUUGUUCGUGACUUUUGUAAUCUGCUUUGUUUCCUUACGGCUGAAGUGCAGCGAUAUUUUUGGUAAUAAGGAUGUUCCGCUAUUAUUAACAACGGGCAUUGUAUUUAUAUCUCACGGUGAA